GAUGCCAAGCACACGAGACUAAGCUCAGUUUCUUGUGCCUAAGGUUGGCCUGGAAGGUUUUCACAGUCUCGUUUCCCUCUUGCUGCUCCUUACUUUCUGGCACAGGAGGGCUGGGAUGCUGCUGGGCUCUGUCAUUGCCUGUUUGCUGACCUGCUGAAAGGUCUUGGACAGGGUUUUUCUGACCUUGGAGGAUGUGAAAGGCCAAUAAAAUGUGGUUGUGUGAGAUGUGUUCCAUCUUCCUGGGGAGCAGAAAAUGCAUCUGAAGGAGAUGGUUCCAGCUUGGGGGGAUGAAGGCUCUUGCACUUCUUUGGCUCUUGGCGCUCUAAAUUUGCCACUCCUGAAAAAAGAAGCUUGGAAAUCUCUCUUGGAAAUCCUGGCUAAAUAAUGCCUGUAUUUUUUCUGCAUCCAACUUUCCAGACAACUCAGUGCAAUAUCACACUUUAGAAAUAACUAUUUUCUUAAAUUGAUCGGAAUCAUUGUAUCUCCAUUGGAUUUUUGGUACUGGUGUUAAUACUGGAGAGACUAAAUUUACUUUAUGGCUACUGUUUUUUUUUUCUCAUGGUUUUUAGCUGCUGGUGGUUAUAACCCUUGUUUCACUUUUCACUAAAAACAUGCCUCUGUUUUUUUUGCAUCCUACAGAGUGGGUGCAGUGAAAAGCUGAAAAUUGUUUCUCUUUAGAGGUCUGGAUCCAUAAGCCCUCUGAAUCCAGCACAAAGCUUCAGCUGGCUUUGUACUUUUCCCACACUUGUUCAGAGAUAAUUUUUUCUCUCUC